GGAGGUUUUCCAAAUGUUGGCAGUAGGCAAACAAUUCGUCGUUACUGCAUGAUACUUAUAAAUUCGGAAAAUUGUGAAACUCACGUCUACCCAGAUUCAUUUUUUGUAGAAGCAGUUUGGCUGCGAAAGCAGCAACGACGUUUUUUGUAGUUUGGGUUGUGGGAUUUUCAAUGAAUCCGAAUUUAAUGUAUUCCGCACGGUAUUGCCGUCUCUUCUUUUUUACUUCCGACAUUGUUUUGCUUUGAGAAAUACGUUUAACUUCGCGAGUAGUGUAAAGGAGGCGUAAGUAAUGCUCAUCUAUUGCGCGCAAAACCACAAAUGAAUAUAAAAUAAAUAUUACAUUGUUUAUAUAGGAAUGCUUCAGCACAAUUAUUAUAAAGUAGUCCAAAAAUAUGAAUUCUUAUUUUUCCUAGAAAUACAUUUGUAAAAAAAAGGAUCUUUCUCCUUUUCGUAUUAUCUUAUUUCUCCCAGAAAUACAUUUGUAAAAAAAAAUGAUCUUUAUCCUUUUUUUAUUUUCCACAUAAAAUAUUUAAGGAGUUCAAAAGCUCAAAACGUGCGUUAUAUCAGCUACCUACCCGACGUCAUUUUGCAAGUGAUAAAAUAAAUUAUUCAAGAGCUCAAAGCAUUCGCUACGUCAGCUCGAAUAUACCUACCCUACACCUUUGCGCAAAUGAUUAUAUGUAUUAUGAUAGUAAAUGCCCACAUACAGAUUUGGCAAUGGCAAUAGCAAUACGUUUGACAGUUAGUAUUCUAUAAAUUCUAUCCUGUCGAGAUGCCCCGUUAUGAAACGGAGCGACCGAUUGACAUGAUUUUAAUUUUUUCUAUAUUCAAUUAAAUAGGACAGAUAUAAGAACUACGCGGAGAGAAAUAUAGAACCGAGUUUGAGCAAUCUUUUAAUUCAUAUUAGUUGAUGUUCGCAAGUUGUUGUUGAGCUAAAUAAAAUUACAAAUAACCCCCAGGCUUCUACACAACGCCCCCAUUUUCUUUCUGGGUCUCUUACCGCCCCCCUUGAUACCUGCAGCGCACACAAGGGGUGCGUUAUCGACCACUUUGAGAAACACUGAUCUAGAUGUAUAACUUAAAUCAAGACAAGUUUCCAACAUUUCUGACUUAAAAAAGUACUGAAUGGUAUGGAAUUUCACCAGAAUAUUGUAAAAAAUUAUUCGUAUUUAUUUUAUAUACACUUGAAUAAGUUUUUACUUCUAUAAAAAAAAUGGAUUGCAACAGUCCCUCCAAAUUCACUUUCUGGACUCCCAUUUGGAUUUUUCCCCCAAAAAUUUAGAUGCCGUAAGUGACGAGCUGGGGAACGGUUCCACCAAGACAUUUUUGGUAUAGAGAAACGGUACCAAGGCAAGCUGAGUAUCAGUUUGCUUGCCGAUUACUGCUGGACAUUGUUAAGAUGAUCCAAACAUGAGAAAUAUUGUCCGUCAGGGAAAAAACGCAUUCCAUUCACCCAGCCAUUUCUCCGACAGAUACCAUCAAAAAAUUCCGAAAAAAAUUUUUUAUACACUCCACGAUAUAGCUCAUGAUAUGUACAAAAAGUUCUACUGUAGAAUAAAAAAUCUAUAAAAAAAAAUGUAAAAAAAAACAGGCCAGAUUACCCUACUAACCCCUUAAAACCGAUUCAGUAUUGUCACUAAUAAAGGAGGCUGAAAAUCUUGCAUAGUAUUGGAUAAAGCUAUCACUCUCGGUGAUUGUUUUACUCACUGCCCGCUGGACUUACCACUUGUGACAAAUAGUGUGUUUUAAAAUAAAACCUCCGAUUUCACUUUCACAACUCGGAUAAACGCUUUUAUUUAACAAAAGAAAUUCGCCUUCUAAUGGUGAAGGGAGGGGGUUCCGGACACGUUAGUUUCACAAUUGUGUUAAUCGAAAAUUAUUAAAAUUAUUGUAUUCACAAACUGAUAUGUGUAAAUUAUGGAGAAAUGGCGAUAACUAGCGGCGUGUGGCGAAAAGGCGACGUGCAUUCAGUAAUGGACGAAUCAAUACUGACUUGUGUAAAAGCAGACCCUUUUUCAGUGGAGUGAUGUGGUGUGUGUUUUAGUGUGUGGAUCCUGAUCUCGCUCGUGUGGGUAGUGUUGAUGUGGAGUGUGGUGAUGUCGAGGUGAGUGUGGUGAGUGUGGUGAGUGUGCGUGUUAGUGAUGGGUGUAGGUGUGG